UACAGAGGGUGCGAGCGUUGUCCGGAAUCACUGGGCGUAAAGGGCGCGUAGGCGGUCUGCUAAGCGUGUGGUGAAAGCUCGGGGCUCAACCCCGAGUCGGCCGUGCGAACUGGUGGACUGGAGCAUGUCAGAGGCAGGCGGAAUUCCGGGUGUAGCGGUGGAAUGCGUAGAGAUCCGGAAGAACACCGGUGGCGAAGGCGGCCUGCUGGGCAGUAGCUGACACUGAGGCGCGACAGCGUGGGGAGCAAACAGG
rnacentral:rRNA from 1 species